rnacentral:rRNA from 1 species
AAGACCUUUGCACUUUUGGAGCGGCCGAUGUCUGAUUAGCUAGUUGGUGGGGUAAUGGCCUACCAAAGCGUCGAUCAGUAGCUGGUCUGAGAGGACGGCCAGCCACACUGGGACUGAGACACGGCCCAGACUCCUACGGGAGGCAGCAGUGGGGAAUUUUGGACAAUGGGCGCAAGCCUGAUCCAGCCAUGCCGCGUGAGUGAAGAAGGCCUUCGGGUUGUAAAGCUCUUUCAGCCGGGAAGAGAAGGUUGCGAUUAAUAAUCGCAAUUGAUGACGGUACCGGAAGAAGAAGCACCGGCUAACUACGUGCCAGCAGCCGCGGUAAUACGUAGGGUGCGAGCGUUAAUCGGAAUUACUGGGCGUAAAGCGUGCGCAGGCGGUUUUGUAAGUCAGAUGUGAAAUCCCCGGGCUUAACCUGGGAACU